UACGUAGGGUGCGAGCGUUAAUCGGAAUUACUGGGCGUAAAGCGUGCGCAGGCGGUUCGUUAAGUUCGUUGUGAAAGCCCCGGGCUCAACCUGGGAACUGCAAUGGAAACUGGCGGGCUUGAGUGUGGCAGAGGGGGGUGGAAUUCCGCGUGUAGCAGUGAAAUGCGUAGAGAUGUGGAGGAACACCGAUGGCGAAGGCAGCCCCCUGGGUCAAGAUUGACGCUCAUGCACGAAAGCGUGGGGAGCAAACAGG
rnacentral:rRNA from 1 species